CUUGACAUCCAGAGAAUUUAGCAGAGAUGCUUUAGUGCCUUCGGGAACUCUGAGACAGGUGCUGCAUGGCUGUCGUCAGCUCGUGUUGUGAAAUGUUGGGUUAAGUCCGCAACGAGCGCAACCCUUAUCCUUUGUUGCCAGCACGUAAUGGUGGGAACUCAAAGGAGACUGCCGGUGAUAAACCGGAGGAAGGUGGGGAUGACGUCAAGUCAUCAUGGCCCUUACGAGUAGGGCUACACACGUGCUACAAUGGCGCAUACAAAGAGAAGCGACCUCGCGAGAGCAAGCGGACCUCAUAAAGUGCGUCGUAGUCCGGAUUGGAGUCUGCAACUCGACUCCAUGAAGUCGGAAUCGCUAGUAAUCGUAAAUCGGAAUGUUACGGUGAAUACGUUCCCGGGCCUUGUACACACCGCCCGUCACACCAUGGGAGUGGGUUGCAAAAGAAGUAGAUAGCUUAACCUUCGGGAGGGCGUUUACCACUUUGUGAUUCAUGACUGGGGUGAAGUCGUAACAAGGUAGGCGUAGUGCU
rnacentral:rRNA from 1 species